UACGAAGGGGGCUAGCGUUGCUCGGAAUCACUGGGCGUAAAGCGCGCGUAGGCGGACAUUUAAGUCGGAGGUGAAAUCCCAGGGCUCAACCCUGGAACUGCCUUCGAUACUGAGUGUCUCGAGUCCGGGAGAGGUGAGUGGAACUGCGAGUGUAGAGGUGAAAUUCGUAGAUAUUCGCAAGAACACCAGUGGCGAAGGCGGCUCACUGGCCCGGUACUGACGCUGAGGCGCGAAAGCGUGGGGAGCAAACAGG
rnacentral:rRNA from 1 species